rnacentral:sRNA from 1 species
CUUGCGAAAUAGAAAACCAACCGUCCAAAAACCGAACUCUGGUCA